UACGGAGGGUGCAAGCGUUGUCCGGAUUUAUUGGGUUUAAAGGGUGCGUAGGCGGCCUAUUAAGUCAGUGGUGAAAGCCCAUCGCUCAACGAUGGAACUGCCAUUGAUACUGAUAGGCUUGAGUACAGACGAGGUUGGCGGAAUUGAUGCUGUAGCGGUGAAAUGCAUAGAUAGCAUCAAGAACACCGAUUGCGUAGGCAGCUAACUAGGCUGUAACUGACGCUGAGGCACGAAAGCGUGGGGAGCGAACAGG
rnacentral:rRNA from 2 species